UCCUACGGGAGGCAGCAGUGGGGAAUUUUGGACAAUGGGGGCAACCCUGAUCCAGCCAUGCCGCGUGAGUGAAGAAGGCCUUCGGGUUGUAAAGCUCUUUCGGCUGGGAAGAAAUCGCAUCUCCUAAUACGGGGUGUGGAUGACGGUACCAGCAUAAGAAGCACCGGCUAACUACGUGCCAGCAGCCGCGGUAAUACGUAGGGUGCGAGCGUUAAUCGGAAUUACUGGGCGUAAAGCGUGCGCAGGCGGUUUCGUAAGACAGAGGUGAAAUCCCCGGGCUCAACCUGGGAACUGUCUUUGUGACUGCGAGGCUAGAGUAUGGCAGAGGGGGGUGGAAUUCCACGUGUAGCAGUGAAAUGCGUAGAGAUGUGGAGGAACACCGAUGGCGAAGGCAGCCCCCUGGGCCAAUACUGACGCUCAUGCACGAAAGCGUGGGGAGCAAACAGGAUUAGAUACCCUGGUAGUCA
rnacentral:rRNA from 2 species